ACCCUGGGUCAUACCGUCAUAGCCUCAUAUUCCCAUUCGGCCGAGGCGCUAGACGCCUUUCACAUCCUCGCACUCGCACCCUCCGGCCAGACGCCUCUCGCCACUUCGCCAGAAGCUCGGGUCCACUUCGGCAUCACGCAGUCGCACCCUCGUCCCGUCCAGGCCUCCACGCCAGCACGCCACCCAUUCGGCCUCGCCAUCCACGCCGCGCCGCCCCGUCCGGCCACCGGGCCCGCUGUCCUGUCCACGCCACCAAGCUGCCCUUCUGGCCUCGCCGUUGACAGUCCGCGCCGCCCCCUUCGGCUACCGGCCCCGCUCAGAUCUGCUUUUGAGGAUGAUGCUGUGUCGACGGUUGAAUAAUUGACGAGCUCACGAGCCAAGGCCAGGUACUUGUGUGAUGUCUUCGACUUUUAUGUCAGGCUCUGAUCUCCAAAUGUGUUUGUCUUGACUGUAUGGUGUUUGCCUGUUUGAACCCAAGUAUUAUCCCCAAACAUUUGUGUUUCUUUUGGCUGUAUGAAGUAUGAACUAAGCAGUCUGUCAGUCUGAUCAGAAUUUGUAUGAACUAUUGAACUACUGUCCUAGUCCUACUGAACUACUGUCCUAGUCCUACUGAACAUUCUGAUAAUCUGAUUUCUGAGCUACUGUCUUAGUCCUACUGAACAUUCUGAUUUCUGAGCAGCUACCACCUGAGCUAGUGAGCUACUCAGUUGUAUUUCAAAUAGCAGUAUUUGUAAUGUUUUAUGUGUAUCCUUUGCUACUGCACCAUGUCAGCUAGUGAGCAACAUGUUGCUCACAAAAUGACAGAAAUACAACAUGUUACAGGUACUCUUGUAUCCAGCGUUACAGGUAUAACAAAAUGAGCUAUUCUGAUUA